UUGGGAUGCUGUUGGGACCGGCCUCCUGGACGUUUGGACCUCAGAAGGAACAGGAGCAUUUCUCAAUUGCUGAGAACCCACUCACAACCUAUCUGUACCUAAGGAGUCUUAGAAGCCUCUGCAACUUCUUUAAAUAUAGGUCGGCAAAAUGCAGAGGUGAACAACAGCCUCCAGAUAAUUAAAUAAUAAAUUCACAACUAUAUGUACAACCUCUUCAUCUUCACAACAACGAACAACGUAGCUGGGACAAGUAUCAGAAUGAUUCUCACCGUACAGAUGAAGAAACUCAGUCUGCGUGCAUGGUAUUUGCCCAAGGUCAUACAGGUCAUUAAGAGAAAGUGGGAAUACAAUCUAGGUCUCUACUAGUGUGUCAUUUUGUCUUUAUCAAAAAUAAAAAUAAUUUCAGAUGGAA